rnacentral:rRNA from 1 species
UACAGAGGGUGCGAGCGUUGUUCGGAAUUACUGGGCGUAAAGCGCGCGCAGGCGGCUUUUAAGUCCGUUGGUGAAAUGCCGGGGCUCAACCCCGUGCCCGCCAGGGAUACUGGAGAGCUGGAGACGAGUAGAGGCAAGCGGAAUUCCGGGUGUAGCGGUGGAAUGCGUAGAGAUCAGGAAGAACAUCGGUGGCGAAGGCGCUCUGCUGGACCAUAACUGACACUCAGGGACGAAAGCUAGGGGAGCGAAUGGG